rnacentral:rRNA from 1 species
GUGGGGAGCAAACAGGAUUAGAUACCCUGGUAGUCCACGCUGUAAACGAUGGAUACUAGGUGUGGGGGGACUGACCCCUUCCGUGCCGGAGCUAACGCAAUAAGUAUCCCACCUGGGGAGUACGGUCGCAAGACUGAAACUCAAAGGAAUUGACGGGGGCCCGCACAAGCAGUGGAGUAUGUGGUUUAAUUCGAAGCAACGCGAAGAACCUUACCAGGGCUUGACAUCCUACUAACGAGGCAGAGAUGCGUUAGGUGCCCUUCGGGGAAAGUAGAGACAGGUGGUGCAUGGUUGUCGUCAGCUCGUGUCGUGAGAUGUUGGGUUAAGUCCCGCAACGAGCGCAACCCUUAUUGUCAGUUGCUACGCAAGAGCACUCUGGCGAGACUGCCGUUGACAAAACGGAGGAAGGCGGGGACGACGUCAAAUCAUCAUGCCCCUUACAUCCCGGGCUACACACGUAAUACAAUGGCGCAUUAACAGAGGGAGGCAAAGCCGUAAGGCGGAGCGAAACCCUAAAAGGCGUCUCAGUUCGGAUCGAGGGCUGCAACCCGCCCUCGUGAAGUCGGAAUUGCUAGUAAUCGCGGAUCAGCAUGCCGCGGUGAAUACGUUCCCGGGGCUUGUACACACCGCCCGUCACGCCAUGAGAGCCGGGAACACCCGAAGUCCGUAGUCUAACCGCAAGGAGGGCGCGGCCGAAGGUGGGCUUGGUAAUUGGGGUGAAGUCGUAACAAGGUAGCCGUAUCGGAAGGUGCGGCUG